ensembl:lncRNA
GUAGGACAACAUGAAAACCAGCUAGGCCAGAUAGAAACCAGCCGGGUGGCAAUCUGACUUCCAUUCACACUCUGAUUUCAUUUCCCCUUAGCCUGACUUAGACUUGGCGGGCUGCUCUUUUGGAGACCGUCAUAUGUGAAAACAGCUGAAUAACAAAGGCUUGUGUUACGAAAGAGAUGAAUAAGAUUAUUCUGGCAGUAUACAUGCUCAGUGACGUAUCGCGAUUCCAGCUGCGUGUUGCAGUUGGUUGUUGGUAAGCAGAAGGAAUGACUCAGCAAGAAACAAUGAAUUUAUAAUCAAAAGCAGUUGCAUUGCAGCUAUCAGUAACUUUACAGUAUGUAAGUCUAGUUCGGAAGUUUUUUUUUCAGGUGGGGAAUUAGCUCAAAUGGUAGAGCGCUCGCUUAGCAUGCGAGAGGUAGCGGGAUCGAUGCCCGCAUUCUCCAGUGUUUGUUUUCACUGUUUAUUCAUCGUGAAAUAAAAAGUGGUGAAAACGUUCCCUGUUUGUACCUCUACGUGAGAAAAAAUAAAUGUGAAAGACUUUGGGUGAAUUGUAAACCGAACACGUUCACGUGUUGCUUUCAGGAUUUGGUUUUGCUUUUCCUAAUGGUAUGGCUUCCUUUUGUGUUCGAGGGGGAAUACAAUCCUUAUUGGAAAGAACAAAACACUGACAAUUUAAUACAGUGGUAAACGACAUGAACAAAUUACAGAGAAAAUAAAUUAGGGAUUUUUAAUGUACCUUGAUAAAUGAGCUACGCUGUUCCAUAUGUUGUUUCUCCUAGCAAGAUUAUGUCCUUUCCUUUUGAAGCUUCACAUCUGUGCAAUACCAUGGAUAUUUUCUCUGUAAAACUAUGCUGCACAUUUUAUGUCAUUUUGAGAUAUUUUUAAUUCUGAUGUGAUUUUCUGACUCGCUGCUUGUACUCCAACCGUUUCACUGCUUGUACUCCAAGCUUGAGGAAGCAUGAGGAAACAGAGCAAAACUUUCCUGUAAAUAUAGACAGUUUGUGCAAUCAGAAUCUUGGGAGUACGCAUACUGAAAUGAAUGAAAAUACGGAAACAAAAUUAUGAAUUGGGGUUCAAUUUAAGGAAGGGGGAGAUACUGUGCUGCAUGGAUGUUCAAGAGACAAGAGAAGAAAGAACUUAACUUCUCGAUGGAUGGAACAGAAACAGAAUUUGCUUGUUUGUCUUAUAUUCUUUACAUAGUGGAGCAAAAAGAUGCAUUGUAACUUUAAAGCUGGUAGAUCAUUGUAGUUCAAAUGAGGUUCACUGGAGAGAAAAGUGUUAUGAUCUUCAGGAGUCCUUUCUGAGCUCAGGUAAUGAUUUACAUGUACAUUUGCUUGGAAUAAGAUUCUGUAGUAGUUUUCUAUAUGAUUAUUAUUGCUUCUGAGUUUGCUGUGUUGCCAUGAUUGUUUAAUACCUGAUGCUGCUUCUGCUUUUAAAGAGGAUGCACAGUGUUGCUCUUCUCAGCUAAUCAGACACAACCUGUACAAUGAAAUGAGAAAAUUCAGUGAGGCAGGUGCAGUCUGCAGUCACCUGUAGAAUGGUGGCAUCUAACUAAAUUCUCCAGACUAAUCACUGCCCAUUAUAUUUAUGUACAGCUCCCCAUAAUGGAGCUUUGGUGUCUGUUAGAGCUUGUAAAAUCACUGCGUUAUGACUAGAAGUAACAGCUUUUUCUUAGCCCGUGUGGUGUUCCGUGUCCUUACUUUUUAGACAUGUUGGCUUUUGAAGAACAGGCUGAAUAGAGAGGCUAAGG